GAGAGAGAGAGAGCGUGUGAGAGAGAAACUGUGCUUUCUAGCAGUUACACGGCUGCCAGAACGAGAGCAGCCAUCGAGUGGCUCUCAAUUCAGUCGCCAACUAGUGGGUUGACUGGCUGACUGGCGGGCUGACUUUCAGUUUUGACAGUUGACCCCAAACGAAAGCUCUUGGCCGAAAAAAGCUUGCUUUAAAUUGGCUAGCUGAAAAAAGGCUGAUAGUGCAGCAAUGCGACAAUUAUAUAUAUUUUAACUCUUAAAUGUAUUUGCCAGGUGCUUGUACAGGCAAAUUGUUGGCUGAUUACAAAUACGCGGAAAUGGUAACCGGCGACAUCUGUGUGUGUGCAUGUGGGAGUGUGAGUGUUUUCUUGUUUAUCGUCUGCUUUUUUAUAUAAAUGUUCCGCUUGUAAAUUUUUAGCACACGCACCGGAAGCUGUCGAGCGUACACGAAGCGCUGAUAAAACAGACUAAAGCCAGGCUGUCUUGCUUACCCCCCAAAAAAUAAACGAAAAAGUUACUGAAUUUUUUACAGGCGAGGUAGCAGCUCUUGACUCACACACACAUAGACAGACCCAUACGCAGAGAAUGUGCGCGCGCUUUGCGCCUACAUUUGUAACUAAUGUAUGUGUGUGUAUGUGUGCUGCGAGCGGGUAAGAGGCGUAUAGGUAAUUUAUAUAAAUUAUUUAAUUAAGCCGUGUACGUCAGCACGCGGCGCAGAGCCCAUUAUUUAGAUUAAAAUCAAACCCAUUACGUUUUAUGCCAACUGUCUUUAGCGCUUCCUUCUUCACCCUCUCUCCCUCUCACUAUCUGUUUCCCCCCUCUCUCUCUCUCUCUCUCUUCCGUUAACGUCUAUUGGUUUUGUUAUGAUUGUUCUUGACAUUGCCUUUAGCCGCCCCUCCCGUGUUGCCUAUGCCACCUAAAUUGGCCACAUUUGGAGCGUGCCUAUGGUUUUCGGUUUUGUUGGAGAAUUUUAAGACUGAUGAGAGAAAGACUGCUAUUGCUUAUGCAGGAUAUUUCCUAUAUAUAUAUAUAUAUAGGACAAAUAAAUAUCAUUAUCAUUUUAUAAUUAUCAUUGACUCAGAUCCUUAAUAUAUGAAGAUUUAAGAUAUGAUAUUUAUAUAUGUAUUUUUAAACUUAAAUUUAUUCUGAUUUUCAUCUUUAAACAAAAUACAAAUCAGAGGUAAUUCUAAAGUAUAUAUUUAUCUUAAAUAUAUUGUGUAAAAUUUUAAAAUAAGAAACUCAUUCGGAUUAGUAUUCAAUUUCACUGCGCAUAUUCUAUCUCUCCUACAAAUAUUUAUUUCAUAUUCCAUUUUAUAUUGUCUUGUAGCUGGAAAAUGAUUUUGCUUUGAAACGCGAUGCCAUUGAAAAUGCAAUGGAGCAAUCGCACUUAGCGUUCGAAAUUGAUUUCUUUUACAAUACCAAGCCAAAUGAUAAAGUUAAUUUACCCCUCACUGGUAUCUGCAAGCUGAAAGCCAUGAUAUUUAAUACAAACUGCCCGACCCCUAACCGCCACCCCUCCCCCCCUAUCCAGCCCCUCAUUUCCCUGGGGCGGCAUACACUUGGCGGUCGUCGUCAAUCAAUGUGAAUUCAAGAGCUGCCGCAGCCGCAGCCAAAGAUGACAACUAAACUUCACUUCAGCCGCAGACAAAAUGUCAUUUUUUAGGUGGGUAGAGAGCGGCGGGGCAUGAGGCAGCAGAGGCGUGGUCGGAUGUACACGGCGGAGUGGCUUAAUUUAAAACGGUUUCAUGUUGUGAUUUUGACAAAUGAUAAUUUUUUUUGCAUGCCUUGCUGUAUGUGUGCGCGUGUGGGCGAGUGUUGCAAGCAGGCUAGGUGUAUGUGUGUGGCAGGCUGUGUGCGAUAGCUUUUGUGUUUGCUUCGUCAUCCCAGCUAUGAGUACGAUAUCUCUGCCUCCCUUUGUAUGCUGCCUUUUGAGUCUGUAAUUUUGUAGUGGUCGAUGAGUUGGCACAAUGCGCGCGACAGAUAAACGAUAGCUGCCCCAGCCCCACUCGUAGCCCCUAUCCCCUAUCCCCUGAGCCCUAUCCCCAUUUGCAGAGUGUGUCAAAGGGUCGUUAAGUAAGUAAGCUGCCACACACACAUACACUCGUACCUAUACACACUCAGACAUUGAUAUAGUACUGAGAAAAGUUUCAGUUUCAGUUUCAGUUUUGGUAGAUCAAAAAACUAUGUACAUCUGGACUGACUGCUACAUGCGCCAAUCUCUCUCUCUCCCUCUCUCUCUCCCUCUCUCUCUCUCUCUCUCUCUCUUUCUCUCUUGCUGUCUCUAUUCUUUGCCUGUGUUUCGCAGUACUCCCCUGGUUACAGCCUACACGGAUAUACAUUUGAGUCCUGCUGCAAUGGACAGCGAAACGGGCGGCAGGACAAGCAAUCAACAGCUAACAGCCACCAGCAAUGUUGCAACAAUUUAUUGAUUUAACAACCGAAAUAAAGAGAAAAUUCAUAUUGCUCGGGUAUCUCAAAUUUAAUGCUCUAACACUCCUUAUUUCGGGGCGUAAACUGAAACACAGAAAAUUUUUCAACGAAAACUGGUUUUAAUACAAACGGAUUGAUUCGUGUUUCCAUGCUGGAUAUUAUGCAUGAAGAAAAUUAUUGCGCUACAACGUGAAGCAAAUGGUUAAUGGACUCAUUGGAAAGCGUAUAAGAGAAGGGCAAGCGAGCUGAAUUGCGGGCAAAGUUAAAUCGACAAAGCCAAUUUCCUUGAUUUUUGUUGUUGAUGUGUGUGUUUCUGCUUCUGUUUCUGUUACUAUUGUUCCGUUUCUAUUGACUUUACCGGGGAAAUAGAAUUGGGAAUAAGAAUCAAAGCUAAGCCGGCUCAGUCGGCAUAUUGGCGAAUUGUGUGCAUAUACGGCUUGCAGCAUGUCCGAAAAUAUAAACAACAAUAAGGAUUCGUGCCAGCCAGAAAACACGAGCAAUAAAAUUGCAAUCCUAUCGAAUUCGAUACCAUCACUUCCCAUCGAACCCCCAUUCCUGUUGGUGGCCGCUUGGCUCGGUUUCGAGGCACGCAUCUCGAAGCAGACGGUGAGCAGCGUCUGCAUCGACUGGACACCGAGCCCGGAAUCCGUUUCUGUGUUCAGCAUCGAAAAGUUCCACAGGCGACACGGCUGGCAGCAGGUGCUAUGGGCGAGCGCGAGUCCCCAGACCAUCCACCAUCUGGAAGAGAAUUUCGGCUAUCGAAUACGCAUCCGAGCUCUACGACCCGCUCCGGAUGGCAGUCAAUACGAAACUCUGGCCAUUUCACCGGACAUCAUUGCAACCACGGAAGCAGCGCUACCAUCCACAAACUGUUUGUAUCGAGCUAUUCGCAAGUCGCAGCAAUUUUUGGUCAAGCGCAUGCUGCGCCGACGCCCUAGCCUGGUGGACUAUCCCGGUCCGAACGGAUAUCUCCCGUUAGCAAAUGCCAUUAUUCAGGGCGAGAUGUGCGUAAUUGAUGUCCUCCUCUCGGCUGGCUGCAGCGUGCAUCUGGGCAAUCCCCACAACAAGCGCAGCCCGCUGCAUCUGGCAUUCUAUCAUGGUCAUCUGCCGUCGGCCCGUAUUUUGCUGAACAAAAAAGCGCAGCUAGAAUCGAUUGACUGCAAUGGAAUGACACCCGCGCACUGCGCCGUUGAUGCCAAUCAGUUUGAAAUGGUGAAGUUUGCGCUGGAGUCUGGCGCCAACCUGGAGGCAAGAGAUGCUUGCGGCUGGACACUUCUAAUGCGGGCAGUGGUCAUGGAUGCUGGACUGGAGCUUAUCAAGCUUUUGAUAACACAUGGAGCCGAGCUCGGGGCUCGCGAUAGCCUAGGCAAAAGCUGCUGCGAUUUGGCCAAACUUUAUCGCCGGCAGCAGGCAACGGAUUAUUUCGACAAGGUGCAGGAGUUUCGCCAGGAGCAAGCAAAGGCUGCGCAAGCUUUGGCUAACACACCACCACAAUCCGGCCAAAAGGAUUUAGUGCAACCGGCCGGCUACCAGGAUGAAAUCUGUCGAAGAACGUGCUAAUGAAUGUCCUCAGCUCAGCACAUGGCAUACCCUAGCUAACUACUUGCAGAUAGCGUUAUAAACGACAUGGCAGCCCGAAGAAUCUGUAUCAAAUCAAAAAAGUUGGCCAAGGAAGCCUCGUAGAAUCCCGCCUUGAUGAGCACCUCCCGUUGAGAGCGAUGCAUGAUAAAAAUCAAGAAACGUCUUUGUG